rnacentral:rRNA from 1 species
CCUACGGGAGGCAGCAGUGAGGAAUAUUGGUCAAUGGCCGUAAGGCUGAACCAGCCAAGUAGCGUGAGGGAAGACUGCCCUAUGGGUUGUAAACCUCUUUUAUGCGGGGACAAAGGUGUCCACGUGUGGCUGUUUGCAGGUACUGCAUGAAUAAGGACCGGCUAAUUCCGUGCCAGCAGCCGCGGUAAUACGGAAGGUCCGGGCGUUAUCCGGGUUUAUUGGGUUUAAAGGGGGCGUAGGCCGGUCUUUAAGCGUGCCGGGAAAUUUUGUGGCUCAACCAUGGGAGUGCGGCGCGAACUGGAUGCCUUGAGUGCGCGGAAGGCAGGCGGAAUUCGUGGUGUAGCGGCGAAAUGCUUAGAUAUCACGAAGAACCCCGAUUGCGAAGGCAGCCUGCCGCAGCGUUACUGACGCUGAAGCUCGAAAGCGCGGGUAUCGAACAGGAUUAGAUACCCUUGUAGUC